AGGCAUGAGGGAGAUCUGAUUGAGGCAUCUGUCACCUUAUUGAUCAUCAAGGUUGAUUCCGUUGCUCUCUCUAGCUAGGUCAGUAUCCCCUUCUCAUUUCAUUACUCCAAAGCAGUCUUCCUGAAAUUGUAGGAUAGGUUGAAGAGGAUGACCUUCCCCGAUGGAAGCAAAUUGUCAGUCGAAGGAAUACUAGUAGCAACAUUCCCUUGCUAAAAUAAGAACUUAGUUACAACAGAAAAAAACAAGAAAGAAAUAAGGAUUAAUUUAAGGGUAAAGUAAAUUCUGGAAGUU
rnacentral:snRNA from 1 species